AGAAAGCAUCAUGUCCAAGCUGGCUUCCAAAAUUUCUCCCUAAUUUCUGCUCUUUGGUGGGGUCUCAGCAGUUACUGCAGAAGGUGAAUCCUGUGAAGACAGCAUCAGUGAAAGGUCAGCUGGUGGUCAGCAUCGUGCUUCACUGGGUCGGCAGCACAGCUGAAUGUUGCCAGGAAAUGAACAUUUGUACGGCCCGAGGAGCAUUUUUAAGGCCAGCUGGUUUUGCUUCCAGCUCUGCAUACUGAGUCACAUGGGGUCAGGCUGAGGCGGACACCUGCAAGUAGAGUGACGGAUUGGAGCUGAGUUAACCAAGCUGCCCUUUGCUGAUUACAGACUGAUGAACACUUUGAAAUGCUGCAGAAAACUAGGGUAGAAAAAAAGUUAAACUUAUGUGAGGAGUAAAAGGCAGUCCUGGGGUAUGUUUGUGACGUGCUGCUGGAGAUUUAUGCAACUCUUAUGAAAGGAAGAAAUGCAGCUGGACUUGUGCCAAAGAAGGAAUUAAAAGCAAGCAGAGAACAUGUGCUGUUCCUGGAGACAAACAAAAUAGCAUGUGGUCCUGAUCCAAGGAGGCUUCUGAGCGCGAGGCGAAGGCA